rfam:Schistosoma curassoni strain Dakar, Senegal genome assembly, scaffold: SCTD_contig0010386
AGCCGGCUGACGAGUCCCAAAUAGGAUGAAACGCGCAACCUGGAU